rnacentral:tRNA from 1 species
GGUAUAUUAGCUUAAUGGUACAGAGCACUCAACUGGUACCUGAGAGGUACAGAGUUUGAUUCUCUGUACCU